rnacentral:rRNA from 1 species
GUGUCAGCAGCCGCGGUAAUACGGAGGGUGCAAGCGUUGUUCGGAAUCAUUGGGCGUAAAGCGCGUGUAGGCGGCUUGGCAAGUCGGUUGUGAAAGCCCGGGGCUCAACCCCGGAACUGCAGCUGAAACUGCCUCGCUAGAGUCUCGGAGAGGAAGGCAGAAUUCCCGGUGUAGGGGUGAAAUCCGUAGAUAUCGGGAGGAAUACCGGCGGCGAAGGCGGCCUUCUGGACGGUGACUGACGCUGAGACGCGAAAGCGUGGGGAGCAAACAGGAUUAGAUACCCUAGUAGUCC